rnacentral:tRNA from 1 species
GUUAGAUCCCGAGACCGAGAGCUGCAAACUUUUGGUAUAAGAAUAUAUUCUUUCUGAUGU